CACUCACGUGUACCAGUAGUUCCUUUUUAUUGCCGAGUAUUGCACUGGACGGUGUGCCACAAUUUAUCCAUUCAUCUGUUGAUGGAUGUUUGAGUUGUUUCCAGUUUUUGGCUAUUACAAAUAAAGCUGCUAUGAAAAUUCAUGUAUAAGUUUUUGCAUGGACAUAUAUUUCCUUUUCUCUUGGGUAAAUACCUAGGAAUGGAAUGUGGGGAUCAUAAGGUAGAUGUAUUUUUAAUGUCUUAAGAAACUGUCAAACUGUUUUCCAAAGUGGUGGUGCAGUUUUACAUCCCCAUCAGCAGUGUUUGGGAGUUCUUGUUGCUUUACAUAUUCAACAGCACAUAGCAUGGUGAGUUUUUUAAACAUUAGCCAUUCUUCUGGGUGUGUAGCAAUAUCUCUCUGGCUUUAACUUGGGCAUUUCCCUAAUGACUAAUGAUGUUGAACAUGUUUUAAUGUGCAUGUUUGCCAUCUGUAUCUUCUCAAGUCUGUUCAAAUUUUUUCCCCAUGUCUUAUUAUUGAGCUUUGCAAAUUCUUUAUUUUUUGAGACAGAGUUUUGCUCUUGUUGCCCAGGCUGGAGUGCAAUGGCACGAUCUCGGCUCACCGCAACCUCCGCCUCCUGGGUUCAAGCGAUUCUCCUGCCUCAGCCUUCCUGAGUAGCUGGGGUUACAGAGCUCUCAAUCCAGCAGCUCAGAGUAAACCCUCCUGAUGUGAAACCAAAAGUUUCUCCAAGAGAACCUGUCCAGCCUGGAGCAAAGUUCUAGAAGUAUGGACACUGGGGAUUUCCCCAAAGAAGCUCAAUGAGAUCACCUUACAAUCACAUAUUCUUUUUAAUACUCCACUCUUAAAUAUAAGCAAGAUUACCAACGAUUGCCAGGCAGCUAAAGAAAGUCUGUAACAUGAAAGAUUAAAUUGAAGAACAGAAAGCAGAAAGACAUAUGCAGGGAGAUGAAAGCUUCUACAGAGCAUAUUAAUAUCCUCAAAGAUGUUGCAACAAGGAACAAGGUACUGUCCCUAUAUAUCUACGUAUAUAAAGGAACAAUCAGAGAAUCAACUUGGAGUAAUCCUCCAUAAAUUAUGAUCAAAAGAAAAGAAAAUUGGGGUUGGGGCACACAGGGAGGAGAGGUAAUUCUGGGUCCACCAUCUGAGUAACAGAAAUUCCAGAAAGAAAAACCACAGACAGCCGGGCCUGGUGGCUCACGCCUGUAAUCCCAGCACUUUGGGAGGCCAAGGCAGGUGGAUCACCCGAGGUCACGAGUUUGAGACCAGCCUGACCAACAUGGUGAAAAUCUGCCUCUACUAAAAAUACAAAAAAUUAGCCGGGUGUUGGGGCAGGUGCCUGUAAUCCCAGUUACUUGGGAGGCUGAGGCAGGAGAAUUGCUUGAACACCGGAGGCAAAGGUUGCAGUGAGCCGAGAUGGCACCAUUUCACUCCAGCCUGGGCAACAAGCGUGAAACUCAGUCUUUAAAAAAAAAAAGAAAAAGAAAAACCACAGACAACCUAAGGAAGAAAAUCACUGAGAAUGAAUUCAAGAAAGUUUCCCAGAAAUUAAGGACAAGAGUUCACUCGGAAAGGGGCCUGGCAUGGAAACAGACCUUCGCCAAGGCAGGUAUUAAUACGUCAUUCUGAAAUUUUGGAACACUGAUAACAGAAGGGAAAAAAAAAAAAGUCAUAUAAAAAGGAUCUGGACUCUGGCCGGGUGCGGUGGCUCACGCCUGUAAUCCCAGCACUUUGGGAGGCCGAGGUGGGUGGAUCACACAGUCAGGAGAUCGAGAC
rnacentral:lncRNA from 1 species